rnacentral:rRNA from 1 species
AACUACCUGAGUUACGUAUGAUCACCUGCUGAACUUAAGCAUAUCAGUAAGCAGAGGAAAAGAAACAAACAUGGAUUCCCCCAGUAACUGCGAGUGAAAAGGGAUGAGCCCAGCGCUUAAGGUUUCCGUCUGUUUGGGCGGUGACCGGUGUAGCGUAUAGAACUUCCGUUUGAUGACUAUUGGCUGGUCUAAGUUUUGCUGGAAAGCGGCGGCAUAGACGGUUUUACCCCUGUAGGGUCGGCUGUGGUUGUUAAGUGGUUGUUCUGGGAGUCGGGUUGUUUGGUAACGCAGCCCAAAGAGGGUGGUAAACUUCACCUAAGGCUAAAUAUGACCGCGAAUCCGAUAGAAAACAAGUACCGUGAGGGAAAGU